UACGGAGGGUGCGAGCGUUGUCCGGAAUCACUGGGCGUAAAGGGCGUGUAGGCGGCAUGCCAAGCGUGUGGUGAAAGCCCGGGGCUCAACCCCGGGUCGGCCGUGCGGACUGGCGUGCUCGAGCACUGUAGGGGCGGGUGGAAUUCCGGGUGUAGCGGUGGAAUGCGUAGAGAACCGGAAGAACACCGGUGGCGAAGGCGGCCCGCUGGGCAGGAAGGCUCGCAAGAGCCGGCUGACGCUGAGGCGCGACAGCGUGGGGAGCAAACAGG
rnacentral:rRNA from 1 species